AUAAUCUGCCCUCGAUUUCGGGAUAACCUGCCGAAAGGCAGGCUAAUACCGGAUAAGACCACGACUUAUAAAAGUUGCGGUAAAAGGAGUCUCAAACUCCGAUUGAGGAUGAGUUCGCGGACCAUUAGCUUGUUGGUGAGAUAACAGCUCACCAAGGCGAUGAUGGUUAGCCGGCCUGAGAGGGUGAACGGCCACACUGGAACUGAGACACGGUCCAGACUCCUACGGGAGGCAGCAGUGGGGAAUUUUGCGCAAUGGGCGAAAGCCUGACGCAGCAACGCCGCGUGAGGGAUGAAGGCCUUCGGGUUGUAAACCUCUUUCAGGUGGGAAGAACACAAUGACGGUACCGCCAGAAGAAGCCCCGGCUAACUCCGUGCCAGCAGCCGCGGUAAUACGGAGGGGGCGAGCGUUGUUCGGAAUUAUUGGGCGUAAAGCGUAUGUAGGUGGCCGAUCAAGUCAGACGUGUAAGCCCCCGGCUCAACCGGGGAAUUGCGUUUGAUACUGCUCGGCUUGAGUUCGGGAGAGGAAAGCGGAAUUCCCAGUGUAGCGGUGAAAUGCAUUGAUAUUGGGAAGAACAUCGGUGGCGAAGGCGGCUUUCUGG
rnacentral:rRNA from 1 species